rnacentral:rRNA from 1 species
UUCUGGUUGAUCCUGCCGGAGGCUACCGCUAUUGGAGUUCGAUUAAGCCAUGCGAGUCGAGAGUCUUAGGGACUCGGCGCACCGCUCAGUAACACGUGGGUAACCUGCCCUAUGCUGGGGAAUAACCUCGGGAAACUGAGAAUAAUGCCCCAUAGCCCACUACGCCUGGAACGGUGAGUGGGUGAAAGCUCCGGCGGCAUAGGAUGGGCCUGCGCCGUAUCAGGUUGUAGGGGGUGUAAAGUACCCUCUAGCCAUCAACGCGUACGGGUGUUGGGAGACAUUGCCCGGAGAUGGAUUCUGAGACACGAAUCCAGACCCUACGGGGUGCAGCAGGCGCGAAAACUUGGCAAUGCGAGCAAUCGUGACCAGGGAACUCCAAGUGCUUAGGGUAAGACCUAAGCUUUUCUUGACUCUUCAAAGGUCUUGGAAUAAGGGGUGGGUAAGGACGGUGCCAGCCGCCGCGGUAAUACCGGCGCCUCAAGUGGUAGUCGCUUUUAUUGGGCCUAAACGUCCGUAGCCGGUCUGGUGCAUUCGUGGGUAAAUCAACCCGCUCAACGGGUUGAAUUCUGCGAGCACGGCCAGACUUGGGACCGGGAGAGGUGUGGGGUACUCUCAGGGUAGGGGUAAAAUCCUGUCAUCCUGAGAGGACCACCUGUUGCGAAGG